rnacentral:tRNA from 1 species
GGGGGUAUAGCUCAGUGGUAGAGUGCGUACUUGGCAUGCACGAGGUCUGGGUGCGGGCCCCAGUACCUCCA